GAGAUAUUAGUAAAAUUUACAUGACCUUGUCAAGGUUAAAUUACAGGUGGAACCCCUGUAUAUCUCC
rnacentral:tRNA from 1 species